rnacentral:tRNA from 2 species
GGGCAGUUAGCUCAGCUGGUAGAGCGUCCGCUUGACGUGCGGAAGGUCACAGGUUCGAUUCCUGUACUGCCCA